CGGAAGGAUCAUUAAAGAGUAAGGGUGCUCAGCGCCCGACCUCCAACCCUUUGUUGUUAAAACUACCUUGUUGCUUUGGCGGGACCGCUCGGUCUCGAGCCGCUGGGGAUUCGUCCCAGGCGAGCGCCCGCCAGAGUUAAACCAAACUCUUGUUAUUUAACCGGUCGUCUGAGUUAAAAUUUUGAAUAAAUCAAAACUUUCAACAACGGAUCUCUUGGUUCUCGCAUCGAUGAAGAACGCAGCGAAAUGCGAUAAGUAAUGUGAAUUGCAGAAUUCAGUGAAUCAUCGAAUCUUUGAACGCACAUUGCGCCCCUUGGUAUUCCGAGGGGCAUGCCUGUUCGAGCGUCAUUACACCACUCAAGCUAUGCUUGGUAUUGGGCGUCGUCCUUAGUUGGGCGCGCCUUAAAGACCUCGGCGAGGCCACUCCGGCUUUAGGCGUAGUAGAAUUUAUUCGAACGUCUGUCAAAGGAGAGGAACUCUGCCGACUGAAACC
rnacentral:misc_RNA from 1 species